CACGCCAUUGCACUCUAGUCAGGGCGACAGAACGAGACUCUAUCUCAAAAAUAAAAUAAUAAAAAUGAUAGGAAAGGAGGUGGGAGGUGAGAGUGAAGGCAUUUCUAGCUUGCAUAGUUGGUUCCAUUCAUGAGAUGGGGAACCAAGAAGCAGGUUUUUGGGAGAGAGAAUGUAGGGAACCUGCACCCCUGCGAAACCCUGAGUGGAGGUGCUGUGGGAGUGUGGAAGCUCAGGUCCAGGACUCAGGAGAGAAGUGAGACCCCAAAGGGGACUUGGGGAAGAGGUGUGGACGUGCAUGUCUGGGGCUCAGGAGAGAGGCCUGGGACACAGAUAUGAGAGUCGUUGGGACUUUGAAGGUCACUGGAGCCCUCGGAGAGGAGAGCUCCCAGAAGAGAGACGUCAGGCAAGGGAAGAUGACAUAGGACAGAUCCCUGAGGAGGACUGUGCUGAAGAGGUAAGCAGAAGAAAGGAGGGCAAGGCCCAGCCAGAGAGGACAUCCUGGAAGCUGAAGGAGAAGAAAUGCUCAAGGAGAAAGGCCGAUGAGGCUCCAAGGUUUAAACCUAGAGUUCCUACACGCCCCAGCGAUUCCACUCCCGGGUAUAUCCACCCAGGAGUAGGAAAGCUCAUGUCCACACAGAAACUGGAGCCCCAAUGUCCACAGCAGCACUGUUCCUAACAGCUACGGAGGAACAACCCAAUGUCCAGCAACUGAUGAACGAAGAAAUUACAGCUGUCUACCCAUACAGUGGGUAUCAUUCAGCCUUACAAAGGAAGGACAUACUGACACAGGCUACAUCAUGGAUGAACCUUGAAAAUCUGACACCAGAUGAAAGACACCAGCCACAAAAGGCUACGUGUUGUGGGAUUCCAUUUUUGGCCACAUGUUACACAAUUUCAUUUAUAUGAAAUGUCCAGGGUGGGAAGAUCAUGGAGAUGGUGGAUUAGUGGUUGCCAGGGUUGGGGAAAAGGAGAAUGGGUAGUGAGUGCUGAUGGGGACAGGGGUUCUUUUUGGGGUGAUAGAAAUGUAAAAUUGAUUGUGAUCGUUGCAUCACGGAAUACACCAGAAACCAGUGAAUUAUACACUAAGUGG